rnacentral:rRNA from 1 species
UCGUACCCCAAACCGACACAGGUGGUCAGGUAGAGAAUACCAAGGCGCUUGAGAGAACUCGGGUGAAGGAACUAGGCAAAAUGGUGCCGUAACUUCGGGAGAAGGCACGCUGACACGUAGGUGAAGUGAUUUACUCAUGGAGCUGAAGUCAGUCGAAGAUACCAGCUGGCUGCAACUGUUUAUUAAAAACACAGCACUGUGCAAACACGAAAGUGGACGUAUACGGUGUGACGCCUGCCCGGUGCCGGAAGGUUAAUUGAUGGGGUCAGCGCAAGCGAAGCUCCUGAUCGAAGCCCCGGUAAACGGCGGCCGUAACUAUAACGGUCCUAAGGUAGCGAAAUUCCUUGUCGGGUAAGUUCCGACCUGCACGAAUGGCGUAAUGAUGGCCAGGCUGUCUCCACCCGAGACUCAGUGAAAUUGAACUCGCUGUGAAGAUGCAGUGUACCCGCGGCAAGACGGAAAGACCCCGUGAACCUUUACUAUAGCUUGACACUGAACAUUGAGCCUUGAUGUGUAGGAUAGGUGGGAGGCUUUGAAGUGUGGACGCCAGUCUGCAUGGAGCCGACCUUGAAAUACCACCCUUUAAUGUUUGAUGUUCUAACGUGGACCCGUAAUCCGGGUUGCGGACAGUGUCUGGUGGGUAGUUUGACUGGGGCGGUCUCCUCCUAAAGAGUAACGGAGGAGCACGAAGGUUGGCUAAUCCUGGUCGGACAUCAGGAGGUUAGUGCAAUGGCAUAAGCCAGCUUGACUGCGAGCGUGACGGCGCGAGCAGGUGCGAAAGCAGGUCAUAGUGAUCCGGUGGUUCUGAAUGGAAGGGCCAUCGCUCAACGGAUAAAAGGUACUCCGGGGAUAACAGGCUGAUACCGCCCAAGAGUUCAUAUCGACGGCGGUGUUUGGCACCUCGAUGUCGGCUCAUCACAUCCUGGGGCUGAAGUAGGUCCCAAGGGUAUGGCUGUUCGCCAUUUAAAGUGGUACGCGAGCUGGGUUUAGAACGUCGUGAGACAGUUCGGUCCCUAUCUGCCGUGGGCGCUGGAGAACUGAGGGGGGCUGCUCCUAGUACGAGAGGACCGGAGUGGACGCAUCACUGGUGUUCGGGUUGUCAUGCCAAUGGCACUGCCCGGUAGCUAAAUGCGGAAGAGAUAAGUGCUGAAAGCAUCUAAGCACGAAACUUGCCCCGAGAUGAGUUCUCCCUGAGACUUUAGGUCUCCUGAAGGAACGUUGAAGACGACGACGUUGAUAGGCCGGGUGUGUAAGCGCAGCGAUGCGUUGAGCUAACCGGUACUAAUGAACCGUGAGGCUUAACCUUACAACGCCGAAG